UACGUAGGGUGCGAGCGUUGUCCGGAAUCACUGGGCGUAAAGGGCGCGUAGGCGGCCUGAUAAGUAGGGGGUGAAAUCCUGCGGCUUAACCGCAGGGCUGCCUCCUAAACUGUCAGGCUGGAGCACAGUAGAGGCAGGUGGAAUUCCCGGUGUAGCGGUGGAAUGCGUAGAGAUCGGGAAGAACAUCAGUGGCGAAGGCGGCCUGCUGGGCUGUUGCUGACGCUGAGGCGCGACAGCGUGGGGAGCAAACAGG
rnacentral:rRNA from 1 species